rnacentral:rRNA from 1 species
UACAGAGGGGGCGAGCGUUGUUCGGAAUUACUGGGCGUAAAGGGCGCGUAGGCGGCCAACUAAGUCAGACGUGAAAUCCCUCGGCUCAACCGGGGAACUGCGUCUGAUACUGGAUGGCUUGAAUCCGGGAGAGGGAUGUAGAAUUCCAGGUGUAGCGGUGAAAUGCGUAGAUAUCUGGAGGAACACCUAUGGCGAAGGCAGCUCGCUGGGACGUUACUGACGCUGAGACGCGAAAGCGUGGGGAGCAAACAGG